GACGGACGCUGGCGGCGUGCUUAACACAUGCAAGUCGAACGCUGAAGCUCAGCUUUUGUUGGGUGGAUGAGUGGCGAACGGGUGAGUAACACGUGAGUAACCUGCCCCCUUCUUUGGGAUAACGCCCGGAAACGGGUGCUAAUACUGGAUAUUCACUGGUCUUCGCAUGGGGGUUGGUGGAAAGGGGUUUUCUGGUGGGGGAUGGGCUCGCGGCCUAUCAGCUUGUUGGUGGGGUGAUGGCCUACCAAGGCUUUGACGGGUAGCCGGCCUGAGAGGGUGACCGGUCACAGUGGGACUGAGAUACGGCCCAGACUCCUACGGGAGGCAGCAGUGGGGAAUAUGGCACAAUGGGCGCAAGACUGAUGCAGCGACGCCGAGUGAGGGAUGGAGGCCUUCGGGUUGUGAACCUCUUUCGCUCAUGGUCAAGCCGCAACAAUGGUUGUGGUGAGGGUAGUGGGUAAAGAAGCGCCGGCUAACUACGUG
rnacentral:rRNA from 1 species